UGGUGUAAUAAUAUACAAUCUGAUACAACUCCAUAGUUCUAUCAUGUGGAUAAAAAGAAUACAACAGAAGAACGAAAUAUAGCCAAACACAAACACACACAAAAAAAUAUACACACACACAUACAUAUUCUGAAGUUUAAUACUAGUUAAUUAUUAAAUCAGACACUCUAUUUUAAAAGAAACCAAACAUUAAUGAAAGAGAAAUUUGAAAUAGAAUGAGAGAUAGUGUGUGUGUGCCGGGAACACACCAGAGAAGUCGUCAACGGUGCUGGAAUCGAUGAAAGAGGACAAUGGCUUGAGCGAAUUGGAAGAGAUUCAGAUGAACGAGAAAAUUAAACUGGAACGGGAAAAAAACUUACAGUAUGAGAAGAAAGAGAGAGAGAUGAGUGAUUAGUGAUUUACCUUCAGAAAUUUAGGGAGAGAUGGGUUAUCGCAGAGGAGUAGAGAGAGGGAGGGGUUAUCGGCGAGCAGAGAAACAUAGAGGAAAUUAGGGAAAUAGGGUUCGUGUGUGA
rnacentral:lncRNA from 1 species